UUCGGUUGUCAGGGAUGAAAUUUAUAGAUAAAUAGAUAAGUGUAUUUAAUUGAUUAUAUUCAAAUUUUAUCCUUGACGACCCAAUAUGUACAUGUGAAUAUGAAGUAUUCUACUUAAGUCACUCACCUAUAAUGAUGUCUAUAAAUCUGGUACUAUUCUAUAUGAUCCGGAUGUAAUGUGUUCCCUAUACUUAUUUGAUAUUAUAGUACAUUUAAUAAUAAUUGCUUCUGUGUGACUACCCAGCACGAAAACACUUAUAAACGAGGAAAUACCAAACGUUGCGUUGCCUUUCAAAUGAACGGAGAUAGUCAGUCAGUCGUGAACGUAGGCGUUGUUGUUUUUAUACAGUGAAUAAAAAAGUCUCUUAGGACUCUUGUACAUGUAGGUACAGACACAGUUAAGAAAUGUGUUAACUUUAUUACUCCAUUUGUAACAACUAGACUAUGUAAACUGUCUGACCUAUGCGUGGUUGUCAUGCAAGAUAAAAAUAUAAUAAUUAAUUGAUGAGGAAUUCAUUGCUUUGGGAUAAGGUUUUGGUUUUCUCAAGCUCAAGUUGAGAUGGGUUUGUCAAUUGCACGAUCAUAGGAUCAUAACUACUUACUUAGCUACGAUAUUUGCAAUAGAUUACAAUAUAAGUCGCAUAUUUUGGUUUUUGUAUGCAAGGUUGAGAAAGACGAAGCAGCACUCACGGGAUUAAUGGGCUGACAUAUCUAAAUCGAUCCAAUUUCUCAUCCAAAUGGCAAUACACAUGUUCGCUGAUCAAUUGUCAGCAAGUUAUCCCGUAGCCGGCAAUUUUCGUAGAUACGCGCACCACUAGACAUUUCGUAUAUAAUUGGUAGCUGCGAUGAGUUAAAUCAUUUAUAAAAUUUGAAUGUCUUUCUUUGACAUUUAUAGGAAGAUGAAAAUUGCAUCAUAGCAGAUUUCUUCAUCCAAUACUUUGAAACAAGCACUGAAUAGGAAAACUUGCUUGAUCAAAUAGCUAUGAGUUUUCCUUUUUCUUAAGCGAACAAGUUUCGUGGAAAAGUUUUUAUUUCCUCGAUACUGAAACAUAAUGAGCGGCGCAUAUGGUACUUAUGUAUAAAAAAUAGUAUGCAUAGAUGAUUAUAUGUGUAUGUCUACAUAAUAUAAAGAUUGCCUUUAAAAGUUUAAUGAACGUCAGUUGCAUAAAAAAUGCAUUCAUUAGAGAGCGAUUGAGUUUAAUAACGCAGUUAAAAUAAAAUGGAGAUAAUUAAAAAUUUAACAUAUAUUGUCUAUGUAUAAAUUUGUAACGGAAAUUGAUUAAGUUUCGCACGAUUGUUAUCGUGAAACAUUUAACCUAUGUCUGAUCUCUGUUUUGUCGUCAAGAACUGGUCGAAAUCGUUGCAAGGUUUCGUUUAAUCGACAUCAGCACCGACGACAGCGACGAUCUUGUAGUCGAAAAGUGCUGCAAGCCCAAUCCGUUCACGGCAUUCACUCUAAUAUGAGCUAAUCGCCAUAAAAUUUCCAGCAAAGUCUCGCUAAAUUUCCAAGGUAGAUCAAUUUGCUGCACAACUGCGUCCGACCAGCACCAGCACCAUUUUUGACGCUUUAAGGAGAUCAUCAAUUUUUCUUAAAUAAGCUCUUCUUUGAUGAAUUAAAAGGUGGAGGUAAUUGUUGUAGAAAAAAUCGAGAGCGUGAUCGGAUAAACGGGAGUACCUGAAAUAUUGAUUGUUGUUGUUGUUGUUGUUGAUAUAAAAACAAGUUAAACGAAAGCCUAUUAGAAAGAAGUAAUCAUUAAAGGCUAUCUAGUAAAGCUCUUACCACAUUUAAGACGGGAAACAUUUGCCAUUUGCUAUAAGGCAUCGAUCAAAAGGUCUUUCAGAGUAGCUCUACUCUGCAAUUAUCUUCGAAAAUCCUACCGCAGUCGACGAUCUACUUUGCUUGUGCUCUGCCGUAACAUUUUGCUAUAGUGUAAUGACAGUCGCGAUGUAAACCAGACCCACACUUUGCGAAUAUUCUAAGAUCUUAGAUAGCUACCUCAUUUACUUACAGUGUGAUCGACCAGAAGAACAACAGGUUGCUUUUAUAUUAUAGCUAUGAAAUAUCCUUAGUGGGGCGGGUAUAUUUACAGAAAGAACUGAUUCUUGCAUUCAUGUACCGAAAUAUAUGAACACCCACCAGAAAAACAUAAAAUCGCUAUUAAACAAAUAAACAUGAUGUGUGGAAAAAAAACAAAAA